AGGUGGGAUCUUACUACAUUGCCCAGGCUGAAGUGCAGUGGCUAUUAACAGCCGUAAUCAUAAUGUAUUGCAGCUUUGAAUUCCUGGGCUUGAGUGACCUCCCCACCUCAGCCUCCUGAGUAGCUGAGACUACAAGAAAUAAGGAGAAAGAAGAAACAAAGAUGGGGUGGAAAUGUAAGAGAGGCAUUCUAAUAUACGCAUUCUUCAUGACAACUAUGUGAAACAUAUUAAUAUCCUCAUUGUUAAAGAUGAAGAAACUAAAUCUCAGGAAGAAAAACUAAGUGAAGACAAAAGAAGUAUUUGAACUGAGGUUUGUCAGACUCUCGGGACCAAGCUGUUGAAACCACUAAACCACACUGCCUCUGGGUCACUUGAUUAUUCUGGGAGAUUCUGGGAGUCUUUUCUCCAACACUCCAAUGGCAUCUGACUAUGUGAGCUGAUAAGAUCUAUAGAUCUCCCCGGCAGUUGUUGAAAAGCAAGAGCAGGAACCGAGAGAAAGCCCCUUCUUUUAGUGGAAAACUCUUGCUGUGCUUAGGAAAACCGUGAACCCAAACAGUGUGGGUCAGCCUUUCAAUAUGCAAAACGGACGAAGGCUGAAGCAAUCACAUGCCGUGCACAACUGUCAAACGGAAAGAAUGAAUGGUGGAUGGAAAGAAUGGGAAUGUGUACGCUAUCUUGCUCCACUUUGGACAGUCAUGAUCGUGGAAGAUAGAAGAGGAAUUUCUUAACAUUGGUCAGAGAAGAGGGUAUCAGUUAGCUGGAAGUGCUCCUCUGAAAAACUGAUGGCCCUUUGCAGGUGUGACUCUGAGCUCUGUUGGAUUUCUUGUGAAGAAAACUCCAAGGAAUGGAUGAAUGCCUGGAAACUUACUGCUGGAAGUCAUAAGGCAAUGACAAGAAAA
rnacentral:antisense_RNA from 1 species